GCUGAUUUUGUAAAGAGAAAAAAAGACCAUAGGAGGAGCACGGGCUCGCCUCCUCUCCCUCUCGCCCAAGUCCUCGUCGCUGCCGCCGCCACCACCACCCACGCUGUGGCAAUCUCCGGCGAGCUCCGUCGCCGCACAACACACCCCAGAGCUCCCCACGGUCCGCGUCUCCCUCCCCUCCGGCCAGAUUCUGCGCUCCCGACCUCUACCGCCCGGUCGCAACGCCACCCUUGUGGCUGGGUUUGGGGCAGGGCUUCGCCGCCGCGUCUCCGGCGGCCCCGGGUUCGUCCCUCUUCCUACCUGGUCGGGAUCCACCACCCCUACACCUCACCUUCGACGCCAUGGGAGUUCCCCAUCCACCAUGGUUGUCGCCGUCAAGGGCUUCUUCACGAAGAUGUGAAGGACGCCAUGGAUCUGCAGCUCCUUUUCUCCUCCACCACGGACGCCGCCUCACCCUUCCAAGCCAACAGGCACCCUACAAACGGGUCGGCCCACAGCUCCUCCGCUCCUCUGCCAUCUUGAGAUGCACCUGGAUCUGGCGAUUUCAGGGCCUUCAUGGCUUUAGAAUCGGCCUCUCGUUCGGGAUCAGUUUGGAUCUAGGACAAGCCAACCAUGCUGCUGCGCCAAGCUCCUCUUGAUAUAGUUUACAUGAAUGCUAUCCGGGAGAAGGCAAAUAUCAGGAGCAAAUAAAAUCAAUCCCUGUACAAAUAAAAACACUCCCUGCAAUCUAUCAUUUUUUUUGAGGAAUUAGCCACAUUAGAGUAGUUGAUACAUUGGAUGAGUAUUCAGAAGGUGCAGUCAAUUUGUCCUUUGGCAUCUAGCCCUCCUGUUGCUUUUGCUAGGCGAGGAAAGGUGGACCAAGUAGUCUAGCAGAACCAAUUGCAUUUUUGGGGUAUUGGCUUCAGAUUGGAGUGGGAAGGUAUAGAUAUGUGUUCUUUCCACAAGAAGAACAAUGAAUACUACUACAAUCUUUUCUAGCAUGGUUUGUUCUCAGCCACAUGAGUUUUAUAAUCCUUCUAAAACAGUCACUUCCUUUCAUAUGAAUGCACUUUUAGCAGAUGUUAUUCUGACUGGUCUGCUAUAUUUGUUCAUGAAGACGUUCAUGUUUACUCCCUGUUCAAUUCAAGUCUGAAAGAUUCAUAUUUGGGUAGACAGGUUUCACUGAUUGAAAAUAUUUGAGAUGCUCUUUUUGAUGUAUGGCAAUAUGCUAUCUCAAAUAUGGUAGACGAGGAAUACGGGCUCUUUUGAAGAUAAAUAAACUAGAUAAAAAAGAAUUGAAAUAGCCAAGCAAGUUUCAUUGCAUGUUAAUUAUAUGGUCUGCUGUACUGAACCUUUUUCUGCAAUUUUCUUAUUUGUUCUGCUUGAAAAAGCUAACACUGAUCUUUUGCUACGUUUUGUGUUAAUGAGUAAAUGUUUUGUACAGAAAAUCAGUGCUAGAGAUUAGAAUUGCCUCAUAUAUAAUACUCCAUCUGUCUCAUUAUAUAAGACAUUUUUUCACGAGGUAGUACCAAAUAUGCCUUUAUGUGCUUUCUUCAACAAGUCAUAUGUGUGACUGACCUCCACCCACCUCCCCAUUCUCAACAAGCACCAGGACGUGACUUCGGUUCUGCCAAGUAGGUUUUAAUAAACAAAUCCUUCCUAAAUUAUGAGCUGUUUUCUUACUGAGCAAACAGAAUGCCCAACAUUCCAAUUUGUGAUGUUAAGGCUAACAAGAGAUGCAUAUAUCAUAUUUAACAUACUAUCUGCACUCUUCCUAAUUUAGUUUUUUUUGCUUGUCCAGAAAGAAUAAAUUGGUGUUUGAUUUGACUACAACCCUACGGUGUUUGCUCUGAAAGGCAUGCACUUUAAAAAAAGACAUGAUGUGCAUUUGCAUAGUUUGACAAAUUCCGAUCAAUGAACUGUAUUUUGUUUUCUGUUUUCAUUGUAACAUCAACCUUACGUGGUUCUUCUUAUCAAUGUUUGAACUGAAGUUAUACAAUAGAGGGCAUGUACUUGAUUGUUUUAGUGUCAAUAUAUUCAGAAGACAUGGAUCCAUCACGGAAGGAGUAGAUGAAGACCAUGGAAAGGAGGAGUUACUAGGAGCAGAAUACUGGUGAGUUAACUUCGGUUUUCAGAAUUGAAGCUUCACUCAGGUGAAGUGGUUCCUUUGGACAUUGAUAUCUGCUGCAUAAUAUAUGUAGAUAAAGGAAAAUUGAAUUAAGAACUCAAUCGGAGCAGAGACCAUGAGUUGUGGACCAUAUAAUGUUGUCUGCUUCACUUUCAGUUUCUAUUGGGAAAAUUUGCAGAACCGGAUAAUGUCUCAACACUGACUAGAAGAAAGGAAGCCACAUAUAGCUGGUUCGGCCAGCCAACUAAUCCAUGAAAUUUACCUUCUUUGUCUUUCCUUUUUAAUGCUCAUCACAUUUUUAUAUAUGUGCACCAUGGUUAAAGUUUGCAAAUAUUAUUGCGCAAAAGCAGUCUAUUCCUUGCACCUGUUUUGCAAGCUGGAUUAUUCAAAGAAUAUAUACAAAGACGGGAAAAGGCAGUCGUGUCACAUUAAUGUGGGGAGGGCAAUAUUGGGUAGAGAUUCUUGCAUUUGCACGUUAAGUUUGUGGCAAUUGUGAAUUGCUUUAUUUUCCUGCCAUUCGUAUUUCUUGUGUGAAUAACAUCAAGAUGGUUUUGAGCCUGGAAACUUCAAGCGUGUCAUAAGGCAGGAAACAUAUCUGUAGAGAAGUAUAGGUGAUGUGCUAGAAAACAUGGCCGUGCCACUGAUUUUUCAGCUGGUCGUGUGCUUCAUCUGUAUGAUGCUUUUGUUGAUUACCAGCUUAUGUAGGUUGCUUAGAAGCGAGGCCUUCCCAUAGUUGACGAAGAUAUGUGUAACCAGUGAAGAAUAUUAGGAUGGGAAUUUUACCUAUUCUGUGGACUAGCUACAGUUCUUGGUGCCUUAUAAAUGAUAAAGAGAGGUCUCUCUGACUAAAUAAUAAUUUCCAUUAGUUACUACUUUUCAGUUUUAGAUUCCACUGUAAUGUUGCUGAUGAUGUCAACACUGGUUUGACUUCUCAUAUAUACGAUCUCUAAUUAUUUCAGAAGAUAA